GCAGAAUGUCCGCCUGACAGGACCGCCCCCCACCGUCCGUCGCCUUCGCCACCAGGUUGUACUCGACCUCCCUCUCACGGUCCAACACAGCCAGAGUGAACAGCUCACCUGGGGAAAGGCAAUCAGCUGGCACUGAAGACGUGAGGCGAGGAUAUUAUGACAGAAAUAAAGUGUGAUGGAUGUCAGUGAGGUGCCUCCGAAAACGGGG